GCAUGCAAUACGUUGUGGUUGGUGUAGUCGCUUUCUGUCAGCAUUGAAGUGGGCCAAUGACCCAUGGAUUUUUGCAGGCUAAUUGGGUUGUUAUGACUUAGACAAGCACUUUAUCUUUACAAGUAAUCCCCCUUGAUAUCUACAACAACCUUUGGCAGAUGGUUGCUUUAUCACACAGCCAAAAUACUCCAUAAGGCUGAGCAUUCGUGCCACGCGCGAUCAUCACUGCUAUAUUUUAACAUUAACCUCACUAAUGUACACAGUAACAUUUUCUUGUUGCUGCCCAUAUUUCAAUAUUACCUUAGUUACACAGGGAUAGUGUUAUACUUAUAUAUUAGAGCUUUACUAUACAAGACAUGAAGAGCGAGCGAGUAUCUUAAUUGUAAAGAGGCACUGUCACAGUCUGGGGAGUUUGCAGAAUUCGCAAAGACCACUGUUGGGUGACAUCAUCCGCUGGUGGUCUGGUGGCCAGGGGGGCAGGUAAAGGUGAGAUUUAUUACCUGGACCUGUGACUCGUGGUGGCGGCCAUCUUCCUCCAGCCGGUCCUCUUCAGCGUGAGCCAACAACCUUGAUGUACUCUAGAGCAUGUGCGAGAGUACAGCAUUGAGGUCCAUGGAAGAUCCCGUGGUCAUAGACAGAGACAAUGCCGUGCAGCCCUUACUGGUGACGGAUGUCGGGAUUGACACUUUAUCUCCAUGCAGUGUCU